UGGGGACGAAGUCUGUACUAUUUUCUUAAUUCAAUCAUGUUGAUAAAAGAAACCGAAAUACCGUACGUAACGUUCCCGAUUUUGGUUCUGUUGUUAGGGAAUUAGCUGUGACGUUCUUUAAGUUAUGACGUCAUAUUCGAUGUAAACAAAAGAAACGCUUUCAUCAGGUAACGUAACGUUUUUUUUCAUAUCAAACAAUUAUUAAAAUUGAAUUUG
rnacentral:lncRNA from 1 species